GCACACUGCUGCAGUUUGCUGUGGAGAACACAUUUGCCUAGCUGCUGCUUCAAGGACAAAGAGAGCUAGCACUUAGGUUUCUGUCAUAGCCGGAGGGCUCGGGCUUAUGAAGAAAUAAAUAAAUCAAAGACAGACUAUGCAGACAAAUGACCCCAGGCAUUUCAGUUCACUGGGUCCCUCCAGGGGGGGAAAAAUAAAAAACCGACCAGGAGAACGGAAGAAAUGCAGAAGGAAGGUCACUAAGGCAAGCCGGGAAGAGAAGGAGCAAUCCUUUCACUGCAGCAGAACAGCUCAUUCAAGGCAAGCACUUACCAUAAAAAUAGAAAGAGUCAACAGAAGGAGAAAGGAUCCUUCCUCGGUGUCUGUGGUAGACAGAAAUUCACCACGAACCUCGGCAAAGUGAUGGGAGGCAGCAAAGCUCUCCACACACAAGUCCUUUCAGCCUCCCCUCCAGCCCGCAUGCAGUUGUUUGUGCUGUAAAACCCCCGAGAAGUCUGGAACAGGACUCUCCGGAGAGCAAGCAAGCCGGAGUGAAAGCAGCCAGCCGGGGACCAAUUUCACCACAGUCUCAGAGCAUCACUCCCAGGACAGAGGCUGGACAUUCUGUGAUGCCUUCCAGCCAUGGGCAAACUGCAGGCUGACACAGAGGAGUCGGAAGAUCACUGCUUAAGGAGAGGGACUCUGUGAGGGGGACUUCGAGGGGGCAGCCUUUGGGAUGUUAAUUAACUAAUUAAUUAAUUAUUUUAAAGAUGGGGGGUACACUCGAAGCAGUUAGCCAGGCUUCAGAGUGAAGCAUAGCCGGAGGCCACAAAAAUGUUCCACAUCAAAGGCAAGCACAAUAAAAUGAAGUGUCUUUCCC